rnacentral:rRNA from 1 species
AUUGAACGCUGGCGGCAUGCCUUACACAUGCAAGUCGAACGGCAGCACGGACUUCGGUCUGGUGGCGAGUGGCGAACGGGUGAGUAAUACAUCGGAACGUGCCUAGUAGUGGGGGAUAACUACUCGAAAGAGUGGCUAAUACCGCAUGAGAUCUACGGAUGAAAGCAGGGGAUCGCAAGACCUUGUGCUACUAGAGCGGCCGAUGGCAGAUUAGGUAGUUGGUGGGAUAAAAGCUUACCAAGCCAACGAUCUGUAGCUGGUCUGAGGGACGAUCAGCCACACUGGGACUGAGACACGGCCCAG